rnacentral:lncRNA from 1 species
UUGUAUUGUGGCAUUGAGAAUUUGAGAUCUAGUUUUUUUUUUUUUUUGUGUGUGUGUGACUAUGGAGACACUUGUUGUUGUUGACCAGCAUAAGAAUCAAUACUGUAGCAGAUCUAAGUCACAAGGCCAUGGUAGAUUUGGAUCUUCACCUUCAAAACAAUUUAGAGGGAUUAACUGUAGGACUUUUCAAUCUGAUUCAGGUAUAUUACCAACUCCUUUGAAAUCUCAGAGUUUUCAUGAAACUAAAACACCAACAUCUCCUGUUACUGAAAACCCUAAUAGGAAAAAAACUAGUCCUAAGAGCUCCCCGAUUCCGAUUAAUGGUAAAACUUGUAGAAAAGAGACAACUUUCAGUGGAGAUUUAUGCUGUGGAAGCUUUUUGCUAUCUGAGUUAUGGGCUGGACCUACAUAUUCAAAUUCGCCACCACCUAGUUCUCUGCCGAUUCCUAAGUUUUCUGUGAGACCGAAGAGGACUGUGUCUCUUGAUCUUCCUGAUUCCUCUCCUGAGAUUGAAUUGCGCCCGAUGGCUAAGUCUGCACCCUCUUCUCCGACCAGGGAGCGAUUGUGUUUUACAAGGGAUCUCUUUGUGAAUGCUGAUUCUGCUACUGAGACCCUUCGUCGGAUUCUCAAUCUCGACAUCAAUGAUGAAUGAAACUUAAGGAGCAAUGCACUCCUGUAAAUAAGUGUUUUCAAUGAAAGUAGGUUUGUGUUAUGUUAGAUGUAUAUAAAGGUUCUGUAGAAUUUGUAGUGUGAGUUGGUUUGAGUUUGUGUAGCUUUUAGUUGUGGCAAUUAUGCACUUGAUGAUUUUGGCUUUAGUGGGUCGACAAUCUCUAGAUUUUGGAAAUGGAUCAAGGUUGGCAGUGGAGAGGGUUAUUGGGUUUGUGCCGGAGGAAUUGGUUGAAAGCAGGCUUUGGUAUGGGUCUUGAGACUUGACGGAAGCUUCCAUGAAAAUGAUUAUGAAGCAAAUUGAUGGUAAUGGUAGGAGUGUGUGGAAUUGACUUGGGUUGACGGUGGUUAUGGGACCUGAAGAAGGUCUGGUAUGGGUCUUGAGAGUUGAUGGAAGCUUCCAUGAAAAUGAUUCGGAAGCAGGGCGAUGGUAACAGUAGGAGUAGCAUGGAACUGACUUGGGUUGACGGCGUCUAUUAGACCUGAAGAAGGUUACAUACAAGCUGAAUCCUGAACUUAUAAUAUAUUGUUAGCACUCAUCAUAAGCUUUUUUCUCAUAUAAUGGUUAACAUUACUUUACUCUGAUAUAGGAUAUAUAGGCAUCUCGCAUUAGAUACGAUGUACAAACUGUAGAAUCUUGUCCUUACAAAAAAACCCUUAGGUCUCUCCUCUCUUUCUUUCUAAGCUUUUCUGGGUUUUUUUCUUAGCAUCAUCUUUAAUCAUUCUCACUUCUAUCCUUAUUUUACUUUCUUUUCUGAGACAUUUAACUGUGUUUAUCACUGUCAUUUCAGUUGAUUAGAUGAUAUGCAGUUUGCUAGUUACUUCCUUCCCUAUAUUUGUUUCUACCUUCCCUAUCAGUCUUUUCAUAUCUUCCAGUCAUCUUUCUUUCUCUGUUAGUAUUUAUAUUUUAAAUAGCAGCCCUCAGUGAGGGUUUUGUUUUCCCCUUAACUAUCUUUUCUGUUUUUUUCAAAGAAAAGUUAGAAGGGAUUUGUAGUAGUCUUUUGCUGCAUUAACUUCUGUUUUCUAGGAUGAAUCAAUUCCGUUCCACCGACUAUAAAUCCCCUGAUAUAUUUCCUUCUGGUUUUGAGUAAUGCAUAUUUCUGUAGUCCUUAUCCUCACCAGUCACCUGGCUUAUCUUCCACUUCCAUGGAGAGUGUUGACCAAGCUAUGCCGAAAUUUAAGGUAAGAUAUUGCUUAAUCAUUGUUUAAAUGCUUCUGCCAUUCUUUUCAUGAUGUUACAUUACAGUUAAUAAGAAUUGUUUAAUAUGUGAAUCAGGAAGGCAAAACUUUACUCAUGCUUCUUCAGUUAUGGAUCAUGAGAUGUGGUCAGUUUCAAUUGCAAAUCAGUUUCUGCCAUAAUGUCCUCUCUGGGUCGCAAAUUUGAUUGUUUCUUUUUCUUCCUUCUUCAGUAACUUGUGUAACUUGUUUGGUCUGCUGAAAUAAAAUGUUUAAUGACUAUCAUCUAUCUGAUAUUUUGUAUUUGAUUUAAAUACUUAUUCACCUUAUUAAUUUAUAUUGCGUUUCAUUGAAAGCUCUAGAAUAAUUGGCUGCAUUUUAACGAACUUUUGUAUCCGACGUUGUUAGUUAAGCUUUCACUAAGUAAAAUGUGUGGCUCCUAAUAUUGAUGGAACUUGUCUCAUGAAAUAUUUGGUAAUGAUUCGCAUAUAUCAAAUAUUUGGUGUCAUGUUUGAAACAUUCAUAAUUGUGUAUUUUCAUGCAAUUGCAACUACAUUUUAGGCUCCUUAAUAAUUAAGUAGUUAACAUAAAUUUAUGUUCGGUAAAUCCAACUCAAUUGAUAGAAGGCCGAAGAGGCUUCAACUCCAACACCCUUCUUUUUCUUUUUACUUGAGGUGUGGGUUUUGAAAUUAAAUUUUUUAAUCAAGGUAAAAUGGGUUUGAACAAAUAAAUUGAAUUUCAACCGUUAUUAUUAAAGUAAUUUUAAUAAAAUAAAUUAUAAAUUUAUAAUAUUUGAAUUAUUUUAAAUAAUUUUUUUUUUAAAUGUUGAUUUAUUUAAUUUUAGUGUUUUGUUUUAAAUCUUAUGUUUUGUGGUGAUGUGCUUUAGUAAAUUAUGUCUUUUUCACUUUUGUUUUUGUUUUAAUUUUCCAGUGUCAGGGAUAGUUUCCGUGGUUCGCUUAAAUCAGUGAGAUUGUGGACGAAAUUUUUAGGGUUUGGAAUCGGUGAAAGAGAUCUAUUUUGCGACAGUGAAGUUUUUGUACUUUCUUGCUUGUUUCUGAUACCUUGUAUUGUGGCAUUGAGAAUUUGAGAUCUAGUUUUUUUUUUUUUUUGUGUGUGUGUGACUAUGGAGACACUUGUUGUUGUUGACCAGCAUAAGAAUCAAUACUGUAGCAGAUCUAAGUCACAAGGCCAUGGUAGAUUUGGAUCUUCACCUUCAAAACAAUUUAGAGGGAUUAACUGUAGGACUUUUCAAUCUGAUUCAGGUAUAUUACCAACUCCUUUGAAAUCUCAGAGUUUUCAUGAAACUAAAACACCAACAUCUCCUGUUACUGAAAACCCUAAUAGGAAAAAAACUAGUCC